UCUGUUUGGAGAUAUAAGAAGUCUAGCCUGCCCACUGAUUUAAAGUUGGUUUAAGGGCCGCGGUAUUAUGACCGUGCAAAGGUAGCAUAAUCAUUAGGUUUUUAAAUGGAAUCUUGUAUGAAUGGUUGGACAAAGGAGAAGCUGUCUUUAUAUAAGAAUUUGAAUUUUACUUUUAAGUGAGAAGGCUUAAAUAAUUUAGUGGGACGAUAAGACCCUAUAAAGCUUUACAUUAUAGUUACAUUUAGUUUAAUUUAGAAAAUAAAAAUUUAAUGUAGGUAUUUGUUUUGUUGGGGAGACAAAAGUAAAAAUUAUAUUAACUGCUUAAAAAAUAAACAUUUAUUGAUGAUAAUUAAUAGAUCCUAAAUAUAGAUUUAAAGAUUAAGUUACUUUAGGGAUAACAGUGUAAUUUUUUUUAAGAGUCCAUAUCGAAAAAAAAGUUUGCAACCUCGAUGUUGAAUUAAAAUGUCUAUAUAAUGNAGCUGUUAUAUCCGAAGGUCUGUUCGCCCUUUA
rnacentral:rRNA from 1 species